ensembl:snRNA U6 U6 spliceosomal RNA
CUGCUCUCUUCAGCAGCACACAGAGUAAAAUUAGAAGAAUACGUAGAAAAUUAGCAUGACCCAGCAAGACUGACAUGUGAAUUUGUGAAGAGGUCCAUUUGUUA